rnacentral:lncRNA from 1 species
AUUCGGAUGAUCUAAUCAGGGUUGACAGUUUAACCCUGAGUCGUCCUAAACACAGGGGUCAAAAGGGAUGAAUUAUAUAGUAACCAUAUUCACGUAGGUUCUGAGUGUUGCGAUUGUGACUAUUUGACCUAUCCGAACAUCGGGUACCAUCGCUAGAUGGUCACUUCGAUUAGUACAGGAAUUGAUUUCUGUGCUACCGGCUUAGGAUCAAACUUGUGGGGUCAUACACAUUAGAGGUUCCUAUCU